ensembl:misc_RNA
UAGAGGCCUCGAGGACAGAAACGGAGCCAAGGCUGCGGAGGCGGGAGGUGGGAGGU